AGCGAACGCUGGCGGCAGGCCUAACACAUGCAAGUCGAACGGACCCUUCGGGAUUAGUGGCGGACGGGUGAGUAACACGUGGGAACGUGCCCUUUGGUUCGGAACAACUCAGGGAAACUUGAGCUAAUACCGGAUGUGCCCUUCGGGGGAAAGAUUUAUCGCCAUUGGAGCGGCCCGCGUCUGAUUAGCUAGUUGGUGAGGUAAAGGCUCACCAAGGCGACGAUCAGUAGCUGGUCUGAGAGGAUGAUCAGCCACAUUGGGACUGAGACACGGCCCAAACUCCUACGGGAGGCAGCAGUGGGGAAUCUUGCGCAAUGGGCGAAAGCCUGACGCAGCCAUGCCGCGUGAAUGAUGAAGGUCUUAGGAUUGUAAAAUUCUUUCACCGGGGACGAUAAUGACGGUACCCGGAGAAGAAGCCCCGGCUAACUUCGUGCCAGCCGCCGCCUUAAAAC
rnacentral:rRNA from 1 species